rnacentral:tRNA from 1 species
GGCUCCACAGUGUAGUGGUUAUUAGCACAUCUGCUUUACAUGCAGAAUGUCCUGGGUUCGCUCCCCAGGUGGAGCCU